CUUUGAUCUUGGAAACCAGAGACAGCCGUUUGCUUACAUUGCCUCCUAUAUUCAGUAACUGAACCCAGGUGCGGAGAAUGACAGACUCCCACGUUGAGAAGCAAACAAGAGUUUAUACCGGUUGAGAGCUCAGAAUAUCAACCGAGCGAACCCAUGGGACGUAUCAUUCUCAAAACAAGGAUCUCAUGGAUGAAGGGGAAAGGUAAACUCCACCUUUGGUUAUCUGGAAAUCCCAAUGGUUCAGCAUAUGACACAGCCAGAGAUGAUUCCCAUGCUCCCUUUCACUCCCUGGUUCCUGUGCACCCUUUCACUCUCUUGAUUCAAAGGUUUCAAAGACACAAAAUAUUACCACACAAACAAACAUACAAGAAAGCAAGUGAUCUGCUGGCCUUGUGUUGCAAGAGACUUAUUGAGAUUGUAUUGAGCUUUGGAAAAGCCGUAUAGCUUUGAUCUUUGAAACAAGUGGACUGGAUUCUAAUGAUUAGAGCAUGAUGCCUGCCACAGAUGAUUCCCACUCAUCUGGUUUGGAACUCUAAGGACAAGAGUGGCCUGAACCAAACAGAUAAGCCUGGGAAAUCGGGGAUAUGAGCAAGAACAGGUACAGGUGAGGUACGCCUGUCAAUCAAAUCCAGACCACUCUAUAUAUUCUGGUAAAAAGGAGCAAUGAAAUUAAUCAUAAUUUAUUCUUCUCCAACGCAUGAUGAAUUUGUAUCACAUGCUCUGGUCAUUAAGCAGCCGAUGGCAGGAAAUCCAUACCCCCAGAAUUGCUGUCUUCUGAAACAGAUAAGCACUUAGAACACUUUUAAAUUUACAUGAUAAUCAAAAGCAGGAAAAAAAUCUUUCAAAUGAAAUAUAUUACAGAUGAAGCUUUGGAGUUUACAGGUAAAGUGUGGCCCACAUUUAAUCAAUUAAAUCACAUGAUGUUUGCAUUGUAUUACCACAGUAUGUAAUCAAUUCAGUCACAAAUUGAUGUUCAACAUUGUUUAUGAACUUGUAAGCUGGCCAUUUAAUCAGCAGAUUUUUUUUUGGUCUUUAAUGUUAGUUUCAAUAAUUUGUUCAACUUUAAGUAGGAAACCCAGUUUUAAAUAUUAUGUGAAUAUUAUGGAAUGCAUAUCAAAUGAGUAUCAGGCUGAUAUCACAAUCAAGUUCCAGUUAUGAUUAAACUUCAAAUAAUAAAAUUGAUAGACUGACUCUUAUGAGCUUCUGGUACUGAGAGUCGUUUUUACGGCUUCCCAAAAUAAUAUU